rnacentral:rRNA from 1 species
GACGAACGCUGGCGGCGUGCUUAACACAUGCAAGUCGAACGGAAAGGCCCUGCUUUUGUGGGGUGCUCGAGUGGCGAACGGGUGAGUAACACGUGAGUAACCUGCCCUUGACUUUGGGAUAACUUCAGGAAACUGGGGCUAAUACCGGAUAGGAGCUCCUGCUGCAUGGUGGGGGUUGGAAAGUUUCGGCGGUUGGGGAUGGACUCGCGGCUUAUCGGCUUGUUGGUGGGGUAGUGGCUUACCAAGGCUUUGACGGGUAGCCGGCCUGAGAGGGUGACCGGCCACAUUGGGACUGAGAUACGGCCCAGACUCCUACGGGAGGCAACGGUGGGGAAUAUUGCACAGUGGGCGGAAGCCUGAUGCGGCAACGCCGCGUGCGGGAUGACGGCCUUCGGGUUGUAAACCGCUUUCGCCUGUGACGAAGCGUGAGUGACGGUAAUGGGUAAAGAAGCACCGGCUAACUACGUG